rnacentral:rRNA from 1 species
UACGGGGGGGGCAAGCGUUGUUCGGAAUUACUGGGCGUAAAUGGCUCGUAGGCGGCCUACUAAGUCGGAUGUGAAAUCCCCAGGCUCAACUUGGGAACUGCAUCCGAUACUGGAUGGCUUGAAUCCGGGAGAGGGAUGCAGAAUUCCAGGUGUAGCGGUGAAAUGCGUAGAUAUCUGGAGGAAUACCGGUGGCGAAGGCGGCAUCCUGGACCGGCAUUGACGCUGAUGAGCGAAAGCUAGGGGAGCAAACGGG